CUAACGGAGAGUUUGAUCCUGGCUCAGGAUGAACGCUAGCGGCGUGCCUGAUACAUGCAAGUCGAACGAGGGCGUCUUUGUAGCAAUACAGGGGCGUUCUAGUGGCGAAUGGGUGAGUAACACGUUGGUGACCUGCCCCGAAGAGGGGGAUAACACCGCGAAAGUGGUGCUAAUACCCCAUGUGAUCCCGGGAGUUAGAUCGCCCGGGUUGAAAGGCGCAAGCCGCUUCGGGAGGGGCCUGCGGCCCAUCAGCUUGUUGGUAGGGUAACGGCCUACCAAGGCGACGACGGGUAGGGGGCCUGAGAGGG
rfam:Chloroflexi bacterium RBG_13_68_17 RBG_13_scaffold_9490, whole genome shotgun sequence.